GAUCAUCAUAGCUUAAACCUAAAAUAUGCAUUACCCCACCAUCUCCUUCUCUACUUAAGUUUGAAGCAAUAUCUUUCUGCACCAUCUCCCAUUCCCUUAAUGAAUUUUUGUUCUUCAAAAGCCCUCCAAGGGCUGAGAUGGCUAAAGGUAGACCUUGACAUUGUUGAACCAUAUCCCUCCCCAAAUUUUCUUUCUUUGGUUCGACUCUAAUUUCUGUAAAAAAUAAAAAUAAAAACAAAUUAAAAAAAUGAAAAUCAUGAAACAGAUCCAUUAGGAUAAUUAAAACAAUUUCUUAUUUAUUGCGACAAUGAAUUAGCUAGAAUUAAGACGAAGGCACAACUUUUUUUUUCCUUUUUUUUGACAAUACAUUUAUGUAAGAGUUUUUCUUUAUUUAUUGACAUCUUUGUGAGGAAGUUUAUGAACAAUAUAUAGCGUAUAACUGUGAAUACUUCGUUUCACUUUAGCCACAAUAUAUAAAAAUUAACUUUGAAAUUUCUUUGUUAACUUGAUUUUUUGGGUCUUGAAUUGUAGUUUUAUGGUAAAGUUGUAUGUUAGAAUUAGAUCAUGCACACACACGCACACGAAAAUAAAAAAUUGACACAGAGAUUUACUUAGUUUCCCAAUUUGGAUAGUCUACGGGAGCGGCGUUCUUUUAGUUAUUCACUGAGUUACUAAGGAUUUUACAAUAGAGAGUAUAUAUGACGACUAUUUAUAUUCCCAACUCUAAUUCACAUUAUAGCCUAAUACCCAUACUGUCCUUGUAACAUCGUACUCUCUUGUCAGCUCCGUUCGGCGCGCCCCGCGCCGCUUUUAGACUGUCACUGGCGUGCUCCGUGUGCUACUCAUAAGCCUAUACUGGCACAACCCGCGCUACCCAACAUUAACAUUGUAGGUUCUAACAUAUACACUUGCUACAAUUUUUAGAAAAUGUGCUUUAAAUUCGACCUGAUCAUCAACUUAGAGAAUAUAACCAACAAUUCAGGUUGUACUUGUCAUAUAAUAAUCAAAUAUAAAAUAUGUCCAACUGAACUAUUUUCUAUAUAGUAUACCCAAAUAGAAAUCAAAAGUAUGUUUAUGGAACUAUAAUUUAAUUGGGUGAUGUGGUUAUCACUCUUUCUAAAUUCCCGUAAUUUAUAGAACGUUAGAAAAAAAAGCACCAUAAUACUGUAAUGCUGUUAAGGCUAUGUUUGUUUGUAAGAAUUAUAUUUGGGAUAAGACUUUUAUUUCAAGUGUCUUGUUUAUUUUCAAAUUUAGACUUGUGACUAUUAGUUUAGAGAUUAUAAAAUGACUUAAAUAGUCUUAGAAUUAUAAUUAAUUAUAAUCCCAGAAUUAUAAUAAUAGGAUUAUAAUUCUUAUAAAUAAAUAUAACCCUAAAGUGUUGUGUUAAGCGUUAGCAUGAAGUUGUUUUGAAUCAGUGCUGGUAUACCUGAACUCAUGGACGGAUCAAGGAUUUGCUUAUGAUAUAUGGAUUUAAAAUUAUUAAUAGAAAAAAGAUAUAUAGAUAAAUAUUAUUUGUCAAAAAUAAUAUUUAUCUAUAUACCUAUCAUAUUUUAUACAUUCUAAUAGUUAAUCACUUAUAUCACUAAUUCUCUUUACCCAAAAUCCAAUACUCGAGGACAACGGUAUAUUAAGAACAAUACUCGAGCACAAGGGUAUAUUAAGAACAAUACUUAUAUCAACUCACAAUACUCGAGGACAAGGGUAUAUUAAGAACAAAUAUAUAGUCUGUCCUAAUUUUUUUCACAAUCUUCACUUGUGUGAAAAUUACACUUUUAUCAUCUUAAUAGUUUACUUUUACGAAUAAAUCUAGUUAAAAAAGGUUUCAAUUGGUCGGAGAAAGAGUUAAGUAAUUGUUAUUUGUUAUCAACUUUUUAGGGAUGGAGGGAGUAUAAUUUUAAAUUUAAUAGUUUACUUUUACGAAUAAUUCUAGUUAAAAAAGUUUUCAAUUAGUCGGAGAAAGAGUUAAUUAAUUGUUAUUUGUUAUUGUGGGCCCAAGUGUAAAAUUAAAGUUCACAUGACCUAAUUGAAUUAAAUGCUUAAUUAGGGUUCCACGGCCUCAUUAAAUGUGCAAAUUAGGGUUCGCAUAACCUAAGAAAAUGAAGACAAAAAAAUCAGAAAUAAAUGUGCUAGACCCAGGAGAAGCCUCCACGUGUCCCGAGGCAGAAGACUCGUGGAGGCGGCUCGAUUUGGGAAUUGAUUGAGGGAUUGGAUUGGUGGCUAGAAGGACAUGACAAUAUGGGCAUUAUUCUAAUGACUAAAGGGCAUUUCUGGAAUUUUCCUGAAAGCAUGUGCCUCGCACAUGACUACUUUCCAGAAAAUCCUAUAAAUACCCCUUCCAUUCCAUUGGGAAGGGACUUCUCUUCAGACUCAAGACUUGGACUCUUGGAAGAUCUAGGGACCCUUUUGGUGACUUAAAGGCUUGGAGAUUCCACCUAAAAGCACUAAAGGGGUUUGAAUAUUCUCUCAACUCGAAGGACUCAAGAAGGCUCUUGGAAUCCCUUCUACCGUAACACGGUUCCCGGAUUCUAGGGGUUCUGCCACGCGUUGUUGGAGUAAUCGCCCACCUGUCGUUCUCCCCUCUUCAAUCAACCAAUCAAUUCCGUGCUCUUCGUGGAUUUCUCUCCUCUUUAGCCAACACGAAACCCUAACUCUAGCAAGGUACGAUUUCCUUGCCCACAGUUAUCCUAUAUAUUAUAGUAAAAAAACAAAAAAAAAAAGAAACUGACCUGCAACAUCAUCUCUUCAUCACAAUUUCUUAUUUAUUGCAACAAUGAAUUAGCUAGAAUUAAGACGAAGGCACAACUUUUUUUUCCCUUUUUUUUGACAAUAAAUUUAUGUAAGAGUUUUUCUUUAUUUAUUGACAUCUUUGUGAGGAAGUUUAAGAACAAUAUAUAGUGUACAACUGCGAAUGCUUCGUUUCACUGUAACCACAAUAUAUAAAAAUUAACUUUGAAAUUUCUUUGUUAACUUGAUUUUUUGGGUGCUGAAUUGUAGUUUUAUGGUAAAGUUGUAUGUUAGAAUUAGAUCACACACACGCACGACAAUAAAGAAUUAACACAAAGAUUUACGUGGUUCUCCAAUUUGUGUAGUCCACGGGAGCGGCGUUCUUUUAGUUAUUCACUGAGUUACUUAGGAUUUUACAAUAGAGAGUAUAUAUGAUGACUAUUUCUAUUACAACCCUAAUUCACAUUAUAGCCUAAUACCCAUAAUGUCCUUGUAACACCGUACUCUCUUGUCAGCUCCGUCCGGCGCGCCCCGCGCCGCUUUUAGACUGUCACUGGCGUGCCCCGUGCUAGUGCUGCAGAAACAUUACCGAGCAUAACGCGCCCCGCACUUCUCAUAAGCCUAUACCGACACAGCCCACGCUAUCCAACAUUAACAUUGAAGGUUCUAACAUAUACACUUGCUACAAUUUUUAGAAAAUGUGCUUUAAGCUUUAAAUUCGACCUGAUCAUCAACUUAGAGAAUAUACCCAACAGUUCAGGUUGUACUAGUCAUAUAAUAAUCAAAUACUUUAUAAAAUAUGUCUAACUCAAUACAUUUAUGUAAGAGUUUUUCUUUAUUUAUUGACAUCUUUGUGAGGAAGUUUAAGAACAAUAUAUAGCGUACAACUGUGAAUACUUCGUUUCACUUUAACCACAAUAUAUAAAAAUUAACUUUGAAAUUCUUUGUUAACUUGAUUUUUUGGGUGCUGAAGUGUAGUUUUAUGGUAAAGUUGUAUGUUAGAAUUAGAUCACACAUACACACACAACAGUAAAGAAUUAACACAUAGAUUUAUGUGGUUCUCCAAUUUAGUUAAUCCACGGGAGCGGCUGAGUUACUUAGGAUUUUAUAAUAGAGAGAGUAUAUAUAACGAUUACUUCUAUUCCAACCCUAAUUCACAUUAUAACCUAAUAUCCAUAAUGCCCUUGUAACACCGUACUCUCUUGCCAGUUCCGUCCGGUGCACCCCGUGCCGCUUUUAGACUGUCACUAGUGCGCCCCGUACCAGUGCUGCAGAACCUUUACCGAGCAUAGCGCGCCCCGCACUACUCAUAAGCUUAUACUGGUGCGGCCCGCGCAACCCAACAUUGUAGGUUCUAACAUAUACACUUGCUAUAAUUUUUAGAAAAUGUGCUUUAAAUUCGACUUGAUCAUCACUUAGAAAGGGUUCAGGAUCCUCUCCAUUUUAAUUUGAAAUGGAGUCUCCAUUUAAAGGUUUAGAUUUAAAGUUAUUAGAUCUAAGAUCUAGAAGUUACCUCAUUUAAAAGUCACUAACUUAACUCUAACCACCUCAUUUAAAACUCACUAACCUAACUUGUAAGACCCCAACUUAUUAUGAAUAAAAUUAAAUUUUCUCUAUUUAUUAUCUUGAAAUAAUAAGGAGUUAAUUUGAUAUAAUACUUUGGUUAUGGGUGAAAUGUGCAAAUUUUACAAAAUAAGCAAGUGGUUAUAAAAUAUUCAUUUCUGUCGGGGAAUAUUCGUUUGGUCAUGGAAUAUUCUUUUUGUCGGAAAUAUCCGUACGACGGCGCAGUCAUUUGUGGGCCCCAUAAUAGAAUAACUGUCGGAUGAAGAAAAAAAAACAAAUUUGAGUUGUUGCAAAUAAUGGCGUAAUCGUUACCGUUAACACUGUUGGAAUAUCCGGUGGUUAAAAUACAGUAUGGCACAGUAGCACACGGUAUUGCACAGUAUUGUUGAGUUAUUGAUCUUUACGUAAGAAGGCACUACUCAAUAAUUGUUACAGUAGUUACUGUUUAAUAUUUUAUUUUAUUGAUUCAAUAAUUGCUGCAUUGAUANNNNNNNNNNNNNNNNNNNNNNNNNNNNNNNNNNNNNNNNNNNNNNNNNNNNNNNNNNNNNNNNNNNNNNNNNNNNNNNNNNNNNNNNNNNNNNNNNNNNNNNNNNNNNNNNNNNNNNNNNNNNNNNNNNNNNNNNNNNNNNNNNNNNNNNNNNNNNNNNNNNNNNNNNNNNNNNNNNNNNNNNNNNNNNNNNNNNNNNNNNNNNNNNNNNNNNNNNNNNNNNNNNNNNNNNNNNNNNNNNNNNNNNNNNNNNNNNNNNNNNNNNNNNNNNNNNNNNNNNNNNNNNNNNNNNNNNNNNNNNNNNNNNNNNNNNNNNNNNNNNNNNNNNNNNNNNNNNNNNNNNNNNNNNNNNNNNNNNNNNNNNNNNNNNNNNNNNNNNNNNNNNNNNNNNNNNNNNNNNNNNNNNNNNNNNNNNNNNNNNNUUAUAAAUAAUUUUGGUGAAAAAUUCUAGAAUUGAAUGGGCCCCACUUAUGGUUGGUGAAGAAAUGUGCUGAAUUUUAUUUCAAAUGUGGUGGGUGGCAAUAGUAGCAGGUAAAGCCAUCAGGUAGCAGGUCAAGUCUGCUUCGGCGUGCUAACAUUUUCCUAUAAAUAGAGGGCUAAGUUAGAAUUGAAAAUCACACCAGAAACAUAAGCUUUCUCUCUUUCUCUCUCUAUAUUAUCGAGCGUAUUUUGUGAGUAUUUAGAUACUUUGAGAGUUGCUGUUCAGUACAAGUUUCAUUCAGCAUCACUUCCGACCUUUCAUUCCGAAGUACUGUUUCUUUGAGGUAAGGGAUGUUAUUUUCUUCAUAUAUGAUAUUAUUUCUUUCAAUAUUAUUAUGCCGAAGUAUUGAUUUGAACUUUUAAUCAAAUUUGGAACUUGUUGUGUCGGGGUUACUAUUCACGUAUACGACACUAUUCAUAAAUACAACAUUAUUCACCGAAAAAUAAAAUUUUCUCUUUUUCUUCCAGAUGUCUUUUAUGGUUACUAUCUUUGAUUGUAUCCAUGUUUUGAACUUUAUUUUUGAAUUCUACUUCACACCUGGUUAUUAUGGAGUAUUAUUGAAUUUGGAUAAACCGAAAUAUGAAUCCCUAAUAUUUGUCCUUUUGUCUCACUGGAUUCGUUUUCUAAAAUGUUUUUCAUCAUCCUCAGUCCUUAAUGGUGUUACUUGAUGAAUAUCUUUGGCAUGUAGUGCAAAGAUGAAUGAUUACCUGAUGAAUAUCUUUGGCCCGUAGUGCAAAGAUGAACAGGUGUUGAGAUGAACAUGACCAACUGGUGAUACAAAUGAAUAUCUUUGGCCCGUAGUGCAAAGAUGUAUAUUGAUUGAUGUUACAGGGAUAAAAUAUUGAUGAUGGACUUUUAAAUUCAUAAAUGAUAGUAUAUUUCAUUCUCUACUUAACUCUUCUAGUGAAUUGAUGUUUCCGCUGCAGUUGUUGAUCUAAAACUUGUUGUCUAUUGUAUUCUAUCAGAUUUUUGCCUGUUGAAGACUAAGGAUAAUUUGUUGUAUAUUAUCUUAGUCAUAAUGUUCUUUACUGGGUUAGUUAAGCUCACCCUUUUCCUUUUUGUUCCAUUUUUCUUCUCAGAAGGUGAGAAUUUAGCAGGGACUAGCCGGGGUACGGAGUGAUGACUCAAGAUAGCUGUUUUAGUAGUCCUCACUAUUUUGUAAAAUAGUACAUCAAUAAUUGUAAUGAGGACUUUAUUUGGGUGUGGAUAUUGUCUAGAAGACAAUAUUGUAUUUAAAUUUACAGUAUGUGUUGUCGUAUUUUACACGACAAUUGUAUUAAUAAAGUUGUAGUUGUUUUUCUGUACCAUGUAUUUGGCGACUCAGAAUGGGUGAUGUAUACCUAUUUUGGGGGCGUCACAUAACUCUAGUCAUUUCAUGAUUUAAAAGCCACCAACCUUAACUCUAGACAUUAAUUUAAUAUAAGGCUAUAUUAUUAUUAUUAUUAUUAUUAUUAUUAUUAUUAUUAUUAUUAUUAUUAUGAGCAUUUUGUUAUGUCUCUCAUUGGUUUUUUAAUAAUAAUUAUUUAAUAAUAAUAAUAAUAAAAUUAUAAUUUGUUAAACAAUUUUAUAAUAAUAAUAAUAAUAAAUUAUUAUUAUUAUAAUAAUAAUAUAUUAGUGUUAUAUUAAAAUAAAUAAUAAUAAUAUUUUAACAAUAAUAAUAAUUUGUUAAACAAUUUUAUUAUUAUAAUAAUAAAAUUAUUAUUAUUAUUAUUAUUAAUUAAUAAUAAUAAAAUAAUUAUUAAAAAAACCAAUGAGGGACAUAUUAUAAUAAUAAUAAUAAUGUUAUAGUAAAUUAAUGGCUAAAGUUAGGUUAGUGACUUUUAAAUGAAGUGACUAGAGUUAGGUUAGUGGGUUUUAAAUGAGGUGGUUAGAAGUUAUUGACUUCUAAAUAAGGUGACAACUUUUAAAUUUUAGAUCUAAUAACUUUAAAUCUAGACUUUUAAAUGGAAACUCUCCAUUUCAAAUUGAAAUGGAGAGGAUCAUGAUCUCUUAGAGAGUAUACCAAACAAUUCAGGUUGUACUAGUCAUAUAAUAAUCAAAUAUAAAAUAUGUCCAACUGAACUAUUUUCUAUAUAGUAUACCCAAAUAGAAGUCAAAAGUAUGUUUAUGGAACUAUAAUUUAAUUGGGUGAUGUGUUUAUCACUCUUUCUAAAUUCCCGUAAUUUAUAGAACGUUAGAAAACCAAAAGCACCAUAAUACUGUAAUAUUGUUAAAGCCAUAUUUGUUUGUAAAGAUUAUACUUGGGAUAAGACUAUUAAUUUCAAGUAUCUUGUUUAUUUUCAAAUUUAGACUUGUGACUAUUAGUCUAGGGAUUAUAAAAUGACUUAAUAAUCUUAAAAUUAUAAUUAAUUAUAAUCCUGAGAUUAUAAUACUAGGAUUAAUAGUCUUGAGAUUAUAAUCUCAUGGAUUAUAAUCAUUGCAAACAAAUAUAGCCCUAAAGUAUUGUGUUAAGCGUUAGCAUGAAGUUGUUUUGGAUCGGUGCUGGUAUACCUGGUAUACCUGAACUCAUGGACGGAUCAAGGAUUUGCGUAUGAUAUAUGGAUUUAAAAUUAUUAAUAGAAAAAAGAUAUAUAGAUAAAUAUUAUUUGUCAAAAAUAAUAUUUAUCUAUAUACCUAUCAUAUUUUACAUAUCCUAAUAGUCAAUCAGUUAUAUCACUAAUUCUCUCUACCCAAAAUCCAAUUAAAUAAAUUAACUUAUACAAAUACUCCUAUAACUCAUCACAAUACUCGAGGGAGGGAGUAUUAAGAACAAUUAUAUAGUCUGUCCUAAUUUUUUUCACAAUCUUAACUUGUGUGAAAAUUACACUUUUAUCAUUUUUUGGCGACGGAGGGAGUAUUAUUUUAAAUUUAAUAGUUUACUUUUACGAAUAAAUCUAGUUAAAAAAGUUUUCAAUUAGUCGGAGAAAGAGUUAAUUUAAUUGUUAUUUGUUAUUUGUUUACUUUUACGAAUAAAUCAAUUGUUAUUUAUUAAUUUUUUGUACGAAAAAAGAAACUGACCUGCAGCAUCAUCUCUUCUGGGAAAUGCUUUCUGGAGAAGUAGCUUCCAACCUUCGUCGUUACUUAGAGGACGAAGCUUGUACGGAAAUCCAAUGUUUGCCACUGCUUCGUUACGAGUUGUAAACAAUAUUUUACUACCACUUGUCUCUUCAACCGGAAAGGCUUGUUUUAGCAUUUUCCAAUCGUCUAGGGACCAAAUGUCAUCAAUCACGACCAGACACUUAAACUCUUUUUGGGUUUUGUAGAGCAGUUCAACCAAUUUUGCAUCUCCCAUUUCCCUGAUCUCACCCUCGCUCUUCGUAGGGAUAAGUUUUUGAAGGAUAUCUUGCAAGACAUUUUGUCUUUCCAAUUUUUGGGUGAUGCAAACCCAUGCAAAGGCUUCAAAAUAGGAUCGAACAUCUGUGUGAUUGUAUAAUUUUUUAGCAAGAGUAGUCUUUCCUUGCCCGCCCAUCCCCCAUACGGAAACAACUUCAUAGCCUCUGUCUUUGUUUUUCAAAUGUAAAACCAAUUCUUUUGUUUCCUCCUCCAUUCCAACAAGAUCCCUUUCAAUUGAAUGGGCAUAAGUGAUCCUUAAUUGUUGUCUUCUCUCCUCUUCAGCUUUUGAGCUUUCUACUCGAUGAUCAUCCAAUGCUUGUAUACCCAAAGUUGGUCGACUUGCAGCGAGAUUUGUGAUCUUAGCUUGAAUACUCCCAAUUUCCAAACCAAUCUUAUAAAGUGUUACACAAGCAAAUCUUCUCAUAAUUUUCUUGAUGUGCCCUUCUCCUCUCCUUGAUGCAACUUUUACUGCAUGCGUUUCGAGGACAUCUUCCGUUUGUAGAGCAAGUUCUCUAAUCUCAGCUACCCAUUUGCCAAUGUCUUGGUUUCCUCUUUUAUUGUCUGCAUCUUCUAAGAAAUUCUGCAUCUCCUUUAGCAGACUUUGAAUUUCUAAGACUUUAUCCUUCACUCCAUAUAAGAAUUUAGCUUCAGAGAUCAACAAAUCUCCAAGCCUUUCAACAGCAAAAGAGACGACAGCCUCUGCCAUUGAUAUAUCUUGAAACAAGUAGGUAGCUAGGUAGAUAGAUAGAUAAAAUUAAGACCUAAGGGUAGAAGAAGGAGUUUAAAUACAGCCAACCUGCACCUUAAAUUUCAAUUAAGUCAUGCUGCAUUAUUAAAUACAGCCAACUUACAAUUUAGUUUCAAUUAUUAAUUGCCACCACACAUGAUUAGACGGCCAACUCGGAAUUAAUUAAGUUUCAAUUAGCCAACUUGCAACAUGAUUAGCGAGUGAUGCUGCAUUAUUAAUUUCACCCAACUUGCAAUUAAGUUUCAAUUAUUAAUUGCCACCACACAUGAUUAGCUAGUCAUGCUGCAUUAUUAAUUACAGCCAACUUGGAAUUAAUUAAGUUUCAAUUAAGUCUGCUUUCCAGCGAAUCAUACUGCAUUAUUAUAUCCCUUAAUAUAAGUUAUUUUAGAGAAGUAUUUUUAUCUCUUAAUAAUUGUCGUUUGAAAAUUUCAAGUAAACAUUACUCCCUCCGUCCCUAAUUAUUUGACGUUUUAGAGAUGGACACAAGAAUUAAGAUAAUGAUCGGAAAACAUUAAAUAUAGUACUCAAUUGUAUAUAAUACCUUUAAAUUUUUUGUUGAGAUAAUGAGAGUUUUGUUGGGAUAAGGAGAGAGAAAGAGUUUAAUGAGGGGUAAUUUUGGAAAAAUUAUCAUUAAUUCUCCUAGAUUUGAACAAACGUCAAAUAAUUAGGGACAAAUGAAAAACUUUAAAACGUCAAAUAAUUAGGAACGGAGGGAGUAAUUGCUUAGUUUCCAAUAUUAACCCAAAUAUUAAAUUUUAAAUAUAACUUAGAUUCACUCAUUAUUUUUUGCCCAAUAAAUAACAUUCUUUUUUCAAUAUAAGGACAAUAUUGACCAUUGAUAUUAUAUUUAAUGUUACCCCCUUUGUUCCAUAAUAUAUGACAUUUUAAAGUUGUGCACAAGAAUUAAGGAAAUGAUUGUAUAACAUUAAAUAUAAUAUAAAUUGCAUAUAAUACCCUUAAAUUCUCAUAAUUAUCAUAUUUAUCUCAUACUCUCUUUCUCUUUUAUCUGUAACCUUUUUCCAUGAGGGAUAAUUUAAAAAAAAAUUAUAAUUAAUUCUUUUAUAUUAUAUAAAACAACAAAUAAUUUGUGAAAAAUAAAAUCAUCUAAAACGUCAUAUUAUGAGACAGAGGAAGUAUAUAAUUAUUUUUUUAAUACUUGUGUACAGCUCUAAAAUGAUUUAUAUUAAGGGACGAAGAGAGUACUACUUUCCAACUACCAAUCAGGUUUUGUGGAAAAGGAAGAAGGAAAACAAAAAGUUUUCAAGUGUAAAAUGCCCCCAAACGUAUUGCUAAAAUAAAAGAACAAAUUAAUUUCUUUCCGAGUAAGAUUCCCUCCAUUACAUAUAUCCCCAAAUUUUUUAAAUACAUAUUUAAUAACAUAAAUAUUACUUUUAACAACGAAAACAAAUUCAUUGCAAACAAUUAGCGAUAAAUUAAAAUCUGUCACAAACAAUUGUUUCUUUGAAAAUAUCACUAAAAAUAAUAUUGAGUAAAAUACACUCACACCCCCUGUAGAUAAUCAUAUUAACACUCACUACUCCUCUAGUUUUUUAAAUAACACUCACUACCCCUCUAGUUAACAUAAUAUAACACUCACUACCCCUAAUAUGAUUGACUUGAUGAUGUCAGCAAUUUUUAAAAAGAAAAUGGCUAAAAUGUCCUUAACUACUGUAAGGACAAUUAUACCUUCAAUUUCUGAUGACUAAUAUACCCUUUAAGUAUAUAGUAUACCUUCAAUUUAUGUUAUCUCACAUGAUUUUCUUCAUUUUGUUAAUUUGUUGUUGGUUCUAGUGUAAUUAAAUGUAUAAACUAACAACAAAUCUCGACAUAAUUCCUUAAGUUGCAUACUAAUCAUACUCCCUCUGUUCCAUUAUAAAACAGGCCUCAUUUACAAAAUUUACAAAUUUUUAAGGAUAUAUUUUUGUUCUAUCUUUUAUUGAGUAUUUAAUUUAAUAGUGAUGCCAUGAUAAUAAAUUUGAGAUAAUAAACCUGAGGACAUCAAAAUAAAUGGGAAUUUUAUUUUUUCUCCAAAUCAUAAUUUGCAAAUAGGACUUUUUACGUUUUUGGGACAUAGGGAGUAGUAAUUUGUUGCCAUUACAAAAUGGCUUACUGCAGUUCUAUAAGCUACAAUCAUGUAUAUUAACAAGGCAUUAUUAUAGUUUGGUAAUUGCCUUUUUCUUUUCCAGAAUAUGACCAUGUCGACCUCAGACUGUUACUGCACAAGGUAAACACCAGGACCAGAAUUGAUAAAUAAAUAAAUAAAUAAAAUUUCUAACAAAAGUGCAUAAAAGAGUAGCAACAAACAUAGUUUUUUCUAGUCCCAACAUGUGACCAAAAGUACCACCAAUUAUUAAAUUCUAAAAUUCCUAAUAGUAGUCAUAAGUUACCACCAAUUUGAUUCCAAAUAGGAAAUUGAACAUAUGCAACUUCAGUGUGAUUCCCAACAGUAUGUGAUUGUGUUUGAUUCACAAUAGAAGCUUGAUUCUCAGCAGUUUGAUUCACAAUAGAAGUUUGAUUCUUAGCAGCUUGAUUCCCACCACUUCUUUUUCUUUCAACAACUAAACCACUUUUGCUACCAAUAGAGUGAAUUGUCCUUUUAUUGAUUUGGUUCAGAGGUGUAAUAUCAACCCAAUGAGCUCCAUCUGUUCGUCCAACAAAAUAUUAUUGUCAAACUUUAAACAACAUAGAAAAUAUUCUUUCAUUAACAAUAUAAAUGUUUUAUUUAAAAUUAAUUACAUGUAAAAUAUCUCACCUUCGAAACUGGAUUACCAUUAUUUGUAGGAUAAACAAGCCCACCAUCUCUUUUAGAUCUUGUCAUGACAACCUUUCCCGUUCCUUGAAAUCGAUUUCCUUUCUCUUUACCCGAAUUGUUUGUUCCCACAUUAGUUGAUAAAAUUUGUUGACAUCUUCCCAAACCUCUUCCUUUCCUUUUCUUCCUAACAUUCCCUCUUCUAGCAAGUGGUUCCGAUUGAUCUUCACCAAGUUGUUGUGUUUGACCUUCACCAACCUAUAAUAAAAGAACAGACAAGUUAUUAGAAUCAUAAAAUAUAAUGUAAAAUAAGUAAAUUGUAACAAGCAAAUAUUAUUAAAAAUAUAUAUAUUAUAUUACCUCUUGAGUUACACCAUCGAGAGUAACCCCAUUCCCAGUUAACUCAGGUGGAUCUCUUUGGCAGGUCAAUCUAUUAUGACCAAACUGUUUGUAGUUAGAGCAUUGGACACUUAGAGCUCUUUUUACAAAAUUAUUCUCUGCAUUAACUUCACCUGGAUCUUUUCUUCUAUUUUUUCUCGGUCUCCCAGGCACCCUAUGAAGAGGUGGGGGGUCCAAUGGAUCACUUCCAUCUUCUAUGUAUUUUCACAAUCUUUGAUCUUUGGUAGGGUGAAUCAUUUUUUCAUGAGCAACUAAGUAUGCAUGAUUUGUAAAAUAUGCAUCACAAUAUUGUUCAACAUUGGCUCUCCUAGAUGCAAUAGCAACAACCCCAUGUUUACAAGGAAUGCCUGAAACCUGCCAUGCUCUACAAUCACAAACUCUUAGUCCAAUGUCAACCAAAAAUGUGAAUCCAUCUUCAACGAUUUUGAAUUUAUUCCCUCCACCAUAGAUCACUCUGUAAAUUCUAGCUUUACUAAGAUUGAAGUUUAAUUUCUUUCUAAUAUUCGGAGUAACAUAUCCAUCCCAAGCACACCCAUUUUCAUACCUCAUUUGAAUUCUUUGCAUCAACUUACAGCUAAUCCCUUCAAGCAUUUUCAAAAUGGGUCUACCCCUCAUGGCAUCAACCCAAUGGUUAAGACUCACAAAAAUUGCUUGUGACAUGAUUACUUUUACAUCUCUCAUCAAAGUCAUAUCUUGUCCAUGUUUCAAGAGGCUCUUUCAUCAAAUAAUUGUAUGCAAAUUGAGACUCUUUCUUAAUAUCCUCCAUUGCUAGGUUGAAGUCGUGUUCAUUAUAAGCUUUAACUGCCCUCUAAAAGUGAUUUUUUAACAUCAAGGCUGGAUACAUUUUUCUAAAAUUACAAAACAAAUGCCUAGCACAUGUCUUAUGAAGUGCAUGUGGAAAUUCCUCAUUAAGUGCAUAUUUAAGACCUUGAAAGAAUAUAAACAAAAAUUAUCAUCAAUUUUUCAUCAUUGAGCAUAAACUAAUUAUAAUUAAAAAAAACAGAAUUUUCAAUAAUACCUUCUGCUUGUCUGAAAUGAAUGUUAAUGUCAUCAUGCCAUCAUCAUCUGCACCAAGAGCUAUCCUUAAAUUACUAAAAAAGAACUUCCAGCUUUGUUUGCACUCAGUUUCCACCACAUCAAUUGCCACUGGAAAGAGUCCAUUAUUCCCAUCUAGAGCUACUACAGCCAACAAAACACCACCAUAAGACCCUUUUAGGUGGCAUCCAUCAACACCUAUAAAAGGUCUACAUGCAUUUUUGAAUCCAGAAGUCAAUGCCUCAUAUGCUAUAAACAUUCUCUUAAAUGUGGGAUUCACAUCAAUUGAUAACCUAUCAGUGUUAAUAUCCACAAUACUUCCAGGAUUUGUACUUAGAAUUUGUUGACCAUACUGCCUCAAACUUUUAUAAGACUCUGCAUGACAACCAUCAAGUUCAGCAAGUGCCUUUUUUUUUGGCCCUGUAUAACUGCAUUUUAUUGCACUCAAUCUGCCAUUUCUUAUGCACUUUGGUCUGAAUUUCAUUUAUCUUCAUGUCAGGAUUGUCCCUCAAUGUAUCACCUAAUUUGUUUGCAAUCCAAGUCGAUGUUGCUUCAGUGUUAGUGGAAACAACAAUACAAGUGUGCGUGCCACAAUAUGUCUUGAUUUUAUAAGUCAUCUUAUCAGGAAGAGGGGAUGCAUGUAUUCGCCAUGGACAACCAACUGCAGCACAUUUACACGUAACUCUUUUUUUUUUCUCAUUUUUAAUCCUCUCAAUCUUGAAACCCUCUUGAAUUGUAUAAUCUCUUAACACCUGUCUGAAACUGUGUACAUUUGAAAACAAAAGGCCUUCGCGUAGCUUGAUCUUCUCUUUCCUAACAUCUACAAAUUUAUUUCCAUAUCUAUAGUGGUCAAACACCUUACCAAAUUGUCCACAAUCAACUUGUCUCCCCACUACAGUUUGACCAUCUUCAACAAAUUGAUUAUCAUCAUCAUCAUCAUCAUCUUCAUCAUAAUACACUCUAUUGCAUUCAUCACUUGAUGAGUAAUCUGAUAGGCCAUCAUUAUUAGUCAUCACUUCAUUUACAAGUUUUUCAUCCACAAAUUCAUUAUUGUCUAUUUCAAAAUCACUAGCAUGUUCUUCAUUAGCACAUUGAAAAUCCUCAUCCUCGGAAGACAAGCCAUAAACACCAUCAUCCUCAUAACCACCCUCUACAAUUAUUUGUUUGCCUUUUCUAUUUUUGUAACUCUUAGCUACAACCUCAUCGUGAUGUUUUUCAGUAGUUUCAGACUCAUGUACUGUUUCAGCCCAUAAUCGAUGGUUGUUAGUCGCCUCAUCAACCCUCUUUAUAUUAUCUUGUAUCUUUCCAUCAUUGUAAAUACCCUCAUCAACCUCAUUUACAUUUUUUGAUCCAACUCCAUCUUUACCAACACUAUAAUCAACCCCAUUAACAAUCUGAUCAUCAUUCCACUCCUUAAAUGGAUCAAUUACUUGUAUAUAGAUAUCAACAAUUUUAAUCCCCUUAUACAUUUCAAACAUAAGUAACAUGUUCUCAUCAUUGUUUAAUGGCAUCUCGACUUGUGUUCCAGGCAUAAAAUAAAAUAGUUUGAUUUCUAAACCCAUUGCAGUUGGUACUUGACUCAAUGACAAUUCGGAAACCUCGUUGAGCAUAUCCAUAUAGCAGUAUACAUUUCCAUCAAUAUUUAAAAACACAUUCACUGUUUUCCCAUAGUGAACAUGAAUAUCAUAAUAUUCAGCCAUUCCUGUUAACUGAACAAAAAUAAAAUCAUAAUUCACAAAAGUAUGUAAUGAAUAUUUACAAAUUAUGCAAAUAAAAUUUAUUUUUUUGGAACUGAGAGAGUAUAUAUAUAUAUAUAUAUAUAGAGAGAGAGAGAGAGAGAGAGAGAGAGAGGAAGAACCAAAAUAUUGAAACCACAUAACAUAUGUACACAUACAUAUAUAUAGAUGUGAUUAUCUAUGUGGAUACAAAUAAUUAAUUUUCAUGAGAGUGAGUAAUUGAGAGAGAUCAGUGCUCUUGUGGGGUUUCAUCAAGUGUGAAACAAGGUUGAUUUCAUAAUCUAGGGUUUAGAAUUGAGCGAAUCGAGUGGUAACAAGCAUUUAUAGAGACGACAAUGGGGAAAAGCAUGUAUACCUUAAACCCAAAAAAUCUUGAUCGUAGCCGGAUAAGUUAAUCUCCGAUCAUCUCCUUCACGUCAAAAAUUUUCCCUCCCACCUUCCCCUGUAUGACAACAGUGAGUCGGUGACUAGUGCUUUAAGAGUGGAGAAUAUAACUUGAUAAUACAAGUCAAAAUAGGGUACUUUUGUCAUUAACAAAAUAAGUAUAAAUUUAUUAUAUUAUAAAAUAGUAAAACAUGAGGAUAAAUACGUAACUUCGCCUAUUUGGUCAAUAAUACACAUCUGCAGGGGUGGUGAGUGUUAUUUGAAAAACUAGAGGGGUAGUGAGUGUUAUUAUAGUAAUCUACAGGGGAUGUGAGUGUAUUUUACUCAAUAAUAUUUAUAAAAAAGUGAAUCAAUUUUUGUUUUUUUAAAAAAAACACAAAUUAAAGAUCUUUAUCUCUCAGAUAAGAAUUUAACUUCAAAGAUCAACAAAUCUCUUCAACAACAAAAAAGAUGAUAACCUCUAACAUUGAUAUAUCUUGAUACAAACUUGCACUACUCCGACGGGUAAGGCGAUGAUAUACUUGAAGAAAACUUACACUACGCUCAAAACUUCUUAAAACUCUAAAGAAAUACGCUCAAGAUUAUAGAAGAGAAUUCUCUGAAUUUUUGGUGUGAUUUUAAUUCUAACUAAGCAUCCUAUUUAUAGGAAAAUAGAAAGGAUACUAUGCAAUAAAAUAUAAUAUAUAUAUAUAUAUUAUUUAAAAUCUAAUAAUACAAUUAACUUUAUAAAAGUAUUCUAUUUUAUAUAAAAAGAUUUUACUAUGCAAACACUAUGCAUAAUAAAAUAUAUUAUAUUCUAAUUAUUGUCUAAUAAAACAAUAACUUUAUAAAAGUAUUCUGUUUUAUAUAAAAAGAUUUUACUAUGCAAAACACUAUGUAUAAUAAAAUAUAUUAUAUUCUAAUUAUUGUAUAAUAAAACAAAUAACNNNNNNNNNNNNNNNNNNNNNNNNNNNNNNNNNNNNNNNNNNNNNNNNNNNNNNNNNNNNNNNNNNNNNNNNNNNNNNNNNNNNNNNNNNNNNNNNNNNNCGUUCGCGUCACACCUGAAAGCAUUAAAAUUCUGUAACAACUCCAACUCCUUGAGGCCAUCAAAUCUCAAUUUCUUAUUUACGUGCCUAAUAAAGGAGGGAAGAUAAAGAUGCUUCAAAUGUUUUAUCUUCCAUAACACAUCUGGUAUGAUAACACCACCACCUGAAUCAAAUACCCUUAAAUCAAGUGUUUCCAAGUAUCUCAAGUCCCCUAUACAUGAUGGCAACUCCUCCAAGUGACAAUAUUUUGAACUCAAAUAUCUUAGGUGGAUCAGUUCACCUAUUUCUUGAUGUAACUUUCCCUCACUGAACUUAAAUCUGUCGAGUUUCAAAAUUCUAAUAGUAGGUACAACUCGUCAACCUCUAUCUCCACAUCCUCCUUAAAAGUUCCCAGAUAAAGGAAUAGUUGUUUCAAACGAAAAGGUAGAUCAUCAUAGCUUAAACCUAAAAUAUGCAUUACCCCACCAUCUCCUUCUCUACUUAAGUUUGAAGCAAUAUCUUUCUGCACCAUCUCCCAUUCCCUUAAUGAAUUUUUGUUCUUCAAAAGCCCUCCAAGGGCUGAGAUGGCUAAAGGUAGACCUUGACAUUGUUGAACCAUAUCCCUCCCCAAAUUUUCUUUCUUUGGUUCGACUCUAAUUUCUGUAACAAAAUAAAUAAAAACAAA
rnacentral:lncRNA from 1 species